CAGAUCAGGACCGUGCUCUCUGUCUGCAGUACAAGGACUUUGUGUUGACCACCCUGCUUGGAUUAAGGAGGAUGCAGGGCAGGAGAAGCAGAGGGCUUAGCUGAGAUGUCUGUCAUCUCCCUUCAGAAAGGACAACCUUUUUGCAUCAAGGGCUGCUGGGCAUCUGGUGAGCUGGUGCUUCACUCGGAUGCUCCCUGACCUCAGCACAGCUGGCCUGGAGGUCACUUGUUGUGCCUGAGCUGUACCCAGGGCAUGAGCUGUCCAAAAGAGGUAUGAAAUGGACUCUUCUCUGAGCAGUUUGAUCUGAGGAGUCUAUUUUGAAACCAUGUCAUACCCCACGGACUCAAGCACUGUACUUGAGCUGUUCCUGAAGUGCUGUGUAGAUGCAAGCCUUGUUGCUGGAACGGAGCUGCUUCUGUGGAGGAAAACAACAGCUUAAUUUGGAAGGAAUUACUGCUUCCCAUGACUGCUGCUCUGCAGAGAUCACUGGUCCUGACCUCAGCUGGGAGACUUUGCUGCAGUUCCUACCUCAGCCCCUGCCUCCGACAUCGUCUGGGGUCAAACUGCUGCCACCAUUCAACCUCCAGGUUUC